rnacentral:rRNA from 1 species
UACGAAGGGGGCGAGCGUUGUUCGGAAUCACUGGGCGUAAAGGGCGCGUAGGCGCCUCUCUUGUCGCGUGUGAAAGCCCCGGGCUCAACCUGGGAAUUGCGAUGGAGACUGCAAGGCUUGAAUCUGGCAGAGGGGGGUAGAAUUCCACGUGUAGCAGUGAAAUGCGUAGAUAUUGGGAAGAACACCAGUGGCGAAGGCGGCUCACUGGCCCGUAACUGACGCUGAGGUGCGAAAGCGUGGG